ACCCCCCCUUCCCAGGUUGACCACCACUGUACAGUGUGAUACUUUUAUGAUGAACCAUGCAAUAAUAAUAAUAGUAAUUGGUCCAACGUCAGUUUUUAACAUUUAAACAGGAACACAGGAUUUUUGUAUAUGAUUAAUAAUAAUUGAAAUGUUGUUAUAAGCUUUUAUGGAACAACUGGAUUUCCAGGAGUAAUUGGUUGUAUAGAUUGUACCCAUGUGGCAAUUGUUCCACCCUCAACAAAUUUAAAUUUAGUUGAAAAUCAUCAUCCAGAAUAUUUAUACAUAAAUCGAAAAAACUACCACUCCAUUAAUGUGCAAUUAAUUUGUGAUUCUAAACUGAAAAUUUUGAAUGUCAAUGCAUUGUUUCCGGGGAGCACACAUGACAAUCAUAUAUGGAAUAAUAGCAACGUUUUACCAGUUGUUCAAGAAUUACACGAGCGUAAUUUGAAUGAUUACUAUUUAUUGGGAGAUUCUGGGUAUCCAUUACGCCAGUGGCUUUUAACGCCAAUAUUAAAUCCAAGUAGUGCAGCUGAAAUACAUU